UCUCCUGCUGCCUGGAUGUGAAGUGGUCUCCAAAAAGAUCCUUUGGGUGAAUAGGCAGACGGCCUGCUGGAUCCUGCAACCAUGACCCAACCCAGGACAUGCCAGCCUCCUUGCUGCCUCCCUGCAUUGUGUAUCUCCUUGGGCCCACAAGGCCCUGUCUUUGCGGAGACAGGGAUAGUGAAGACUUUGCAUACUUUGGAUCAGACUGCCAUCACUGGUAGAUUCAACCGUCCCCUCUGGCAAGUGAUUUGAACGGAAUCCAAAAGUCCCUCAGGCCUCCAAGACCUCUAACCAACUGCUGUGCUUGAGUAUCCCAGGAUCAUAUUUUGAAGACAAUAAAAGUGUUUAGAUAUAAGAGUUUCA